rnacentral:rRNA from 1 species
CCUACGGGUGGCAGCAGUGAGGAAUAUUGGUCAAUGGACGCGAGUCUGAACCAGCCAAGUAGCGUGCAGGAUGACUGCUCUAUGGGUUGUAAACUUCUUUUAUAUGGGGAUAAAAUGUUACACGCGUGUGAUUUUGUAUGUACCAUAUGAAUAAGGAUCGGCUAACUCCGUGCCAGCAGCCGCGGUAAUACGGAGGAUCCGAGCGUUAUCCGGAUUUAUUGGGUUUAAAGGGAGCGUAGGUGGAUUGUUAAGUCAGUUGUGAAAGUUUGAGGCUCAACCUUAAAAUUGCAUUUGAAACUGGCAGUCUUGAGAACAGUAGAGGUGGGCGGAAUUCGUGGUGUAGCGGUGAAAUGCUUAGAGAUCACGAAGAACUCCGAUUGCGAAGGCAGCUCACUGGACUGCAACUGACACUGAGGCUCGAAAGUGUGGGUAUCAAACAGGAUUAGAUACCCGUGUAGUC